GUGGGGAAUUUUGGACAAUGGGCGCAAGCCUGAUCCAGCAAUGCCGCGUGCAGGAAGAAGGCCUUCGGGUUGUAAACUGCUUUUGUACGGAACGAAACGGUCCGGGUUAAUACCCUGGGCUAAUGACGGUACCGUAAGAAUAAGCACCGGCUAACUACGUGCCAGCAGCCGCGGUAAUACGUAGGGUGCAAGCGUUAAUCGGAAUUACUGGGCGUAAAGCGUGCGCAGGCGGUUUUGUAAGACAGGCGUGAAAUCCCCGGGCUCAACCUGGGAAUUGGGCUGGUGACUGCAAGGCUGGAGUGCGGCAGAGGGGGAUGGAAUUCCGCGUGUAGCAGUGAAAUGCGUAGAUAUGCGGAGGAACACCGAUGGCGAAGGCAAUCCCCUGGGCCUGCACUGACGCUCAUGCACGAAAGCGUGGGGAGCAAACAGGAUUAGAUACCCUAGUAGUCC
rnacentral:rRNA from 1 species